rnacentral:rRNA from 1 species
UGCCAGCAGCCGCGGUAAUACGGAGAGUGCAAGCGUUGUUCGGAAUCAUUGGGCGUAAAGGGCGUGUAGGCGGCUUGGUAAGUCUGAUGUGAAAUCCCUCAGCUUAACUGAGGAAGUGCAUUGGAUACUGCUGAGCUUGAGUACGGGAGAGGGAAGCGGAAUUCCUGGUGUAGAGGUGAAAUUCGUAGAUAUCAGGAGGAGCACCUGUGGCGAAGGCGGCUUCCUGGCCCGAUACUGACGCUGAGGCGCGAAAGCGCGGGUAGCAAACAGGAUUAGAUA